rnacentral:lncRNA from 1 species
GGUCAUCUUCUCCACCUCUUACUUGACGCUAUGGAUCAUGCUGUCGUGGCGGACCACCAUGUCUAGAUCAACCAUGGUGAUGAGGUUGACUUGCUUGGUUGCACUUCGAUCACCUCAUGAUGGUGUACCACACCAAUCACUUCAUCUCAUUCUUAAAGGUCAAUCACCGAGAUGAACACAUAAUGAAUGGAGCUCAUAGAAACAAGGC